AUCCUGGCUCAGGACGAACGCUGGCGGCGUGCCUAAUACAUGCAAGUCGAGCGGACAGAAGGGAGCUUGCUCCCGGAUGUUAGCGGCGGACGGGUGAGUAACACGUGGGUAACCUGCCUGUAAGACUGGGAUAACUCCGGGAAACCGGAGCUAAUACCGGAUAGUUCCUUGAACCGCAUGGUUCAAGGAUGAAAGACGGUUUCGGCUGUCACUUACAGAUGGACCCGCGGCGCAUUAGCUAGUUGGUGGGGUAAUGGCUCACCAAGGCGACGAUGCGUAGCCGACCUGAGAGGGUGAUCGGCCACACUGGGACUGAGACACGGCCCAGACUCCUACGGGAGGCAGCAGUAGGGAAUCUUCCGCAAUGGACGAAAGUCUGACGGAGCAACGCCGCGUGAGUGAUGAAGGUUUUCGGAUCGUAAAGCUCUGUUGUUAGGGAAGAACAAGUGCGAGAGUAACUGCUCGCACCUUGACGGUAC
rnacentral:rRNA from 1 species